rnacentral:rRNA from 1 species
GUGUGACUGCGUACCUUUUGUAUAAUGGGUCAGCGACUUAUAUUCUGUAGCAAGGUUAACCGAAUAGGGGAGCCGGAGGGAAACCGAGUCUUAACCGGGCGUUAAGUUGCAGGGUAUAGACCCGAAACCCGGUGAUCUAGCCAUGGGCAGGUUGAAGGUUGGGUAACACUAACUGGAGGACCGAACCGACUAAUGUUGAAAAAUUAGCGGAUGACCUGUGGCUGGGGGUGAAAGGCCAAUCAAACCGGGAGAUAGCUGGUUCUCCCCGAAAGCUAUUUAGGUAGCGCCUCGUGAAUUCAUCUCCGGGGGUAGAGCACUGUUUCGGCUAGGGGGCCAUCCCGGCUUACCAACCCGAUGCAAACUGCGAAUACCGGAGAAUGUUAUCACGGGAGACACACGGCGGGUGCUAACGUCCGUCGUGAAGAGGGAAACAACCCAGACCGCCAGCUAAGGUCCCAAAGUCAUGGUUAAGUGGGAAACGAUGUGGGAAGGCCCAGACAGCCAGGAUGUUGGCUUAGAAGCAGCCAUCAUUUAAAGAAAGCGUAAUAGCUCACUGGUCGAGUCGGCCUGCGCGGAAGAUGUAACGGGGCUAAACCAUGCACCGAAGCUGCGGCAGCGACACUGUGUGUUGUUGGGUAGGGGAGCGUUCUGUAAGCCUGUGAAGGUGUGUCGUGAGGCAUGCUGG